AGAACGAACGCUGGCGGCAGGCCUAAUACAUGCAAGUCGAACGCACUCUUCGGAGUGAGUGGCAGACGGGUGAGUAACGCGUGGGAACCCUCCCAAUGGUACGGAAUAACUCCGGGAAACCGGUGCUAAUACCGUAUAAGCCCCUCGGGGGAAAGAUUUAUCGCCAUUGGAUGGGCCCGCGUCGGAUUAGCUAGUUGGUAAGGUAAUGGCUUACCAAGGCUACGAUCCGUAGCUGGUCUGAGAGGAUGAUCAGCCACACUGGGACUGAGACACGGCCCAGACUCCUACGGGAGGCAGCAGUAGGGAAUCUUGGACAAUGGGCGAAAGCCUGAUCCAGCCAUGCCGCGUGAGUGAAGAAGGCCUUAGGGUUGUAAAGCUCUUUUGGCGGGGACGAUAAUGACGGUACCCGCAGAAUAAGCCCGGCUAACUUCGCGCCAGCAGCCGC
rnacentral:rRNA from 1 species